rnacentral:rRNA from 1 species
GAUAAACGCUGGCGGCGUGCAUGAGACAUGCAAGUCGAACGAACGAGCUAGCUCGUUAGUGGCGGACGGCUGAGUAACGCGCAGGUGACCUACCCCGAAGUGGGGGAUAACUGCCCGAAAGGGUGGCUAACACCGCAUGUGGCGACGCUUUCAUUGGCGUCAUCAAAGCCGCGAGGCGCUUCGGGAGGGGCCUGCGUCCGAUUAGCUCGUUGGUGGGGUAAUGGCUCACCAAGGCGACGAUCGGUAGGUGGUCUGAGAGGACGAUCACCCAGACUGGGACUGAGACACGGCCCAGACUCCUACGGGAGGCAGCAGUCGGGAAUUUUGCGCAAUGGACGAAAGUCUGACGCAGCAACGCCGCGUGCGGGAUGAAGGCCUUCGGGUUGUAAACCGCUUUUGUCAGGGACGAUGAUGACGGUACCUGACGAAUAAGUCACGGCUAACUACGUGCCAGCCGCCGCUGUAACAC